rnacentral:sRNA from 1 species
UCCCCCAAAUAGAGGAGGACGGGUCUUUGGUCCAGGGUGUAGAAGUGGCUGCGCUCCCAUGCUAGAACUCCAAACAAGCUCUCAAGAAAGAAGCCAGGAGCUCACC